CUAGAACGCAAGAUGACAUGAUUUUAACUGCGAGUAUUGAUUACAUUUGACGUGUCAUAAAAUGUAGGUACCUUUUUUCGCUUUAAAUUUAUUAUAAUCAACAGUUAAGUGAUCUAAACAUUCCAUGUCAAUAUUAUUUUUUGUUAACUCAUGCACAAAAAAGAAAGAACAUUAUUAGAGUGUGGCAACACCAAACAAAACAGUGACAAAACAUACCAAAAGGACAUUCAAACUCAAAACUGAAAACAUCAGACAUGGCUAAAUAAGAUAAAGACCAAUAUACAAGCAUGGAAAACAACGGUACACGAAACACAAUAAAGAAUAACAUGAAUAACCAAAGACUGUUCAUCAGUUAAAACAGUUGACUUUAACAAUACAAAUAAGUACAUGUAGCUUUUCGGUAGUUCCAAUACAAGCAGCAACAUUCAGUAUACAAGAUAAUACUGUAAGGACGUACAGUUUAAAUUUUGUUUCAGUGAGAUUCAUUUUGUGUUAUGGUGGAUAGGGGUGGGUUAUUAAAAUCCAUAGCCCUGUUGGCCAAAAGCAAAGCAAAUAAUGUAUGUCUAUUUUCCAGUAAGAUAUUUUCUUAUUUGUUCAGCAAUUAUAGUUUAGAAUAUCAUGGAAGCAAAGUCUGAUUGGCAAAUAGGGAAAUCACUCUCCGAUCGAAUGAAGUAUAUGCUGAACAACCAACUGAUGUGUGACGUCACCUUCCACGUGGGAACAGACAAGACACCAAUCCAGGCUCAUAAAUAUAUGCUGGCUAGUUCCAGUCCUGUAUUCUACAGCAUGUUUGAAGGACCACUGGCAGAGAAAGGAAUUAUUGAAAUAGUUGAUAUAGAACCGGAAUAUUUUAAUAUGAUCUUGCAGUAAGUUACAAUUAUAGUGCUUUGUAUUGUUUAACUAAUCAUUUCCCCUAAAAAGUCGUUCUAAUGGUGACCUUAUGCGCCCGAAAAAAGCGUCAAGUUAUCUACCUAGAUAAAGUGUGUAUGGGUAUAUAAUAAAAUCUAAGAUUCCUACAAUGAUGCAAUACAGAUUACUGGAAGCUAGUAUGCUUGCGCUUUUUCCAAGCGCCUGCAUACGGAAUAUAUAUCUCCCAAUUGAAACCAUAUUUCCGCGCCUGUAUUCCGUAUUAUGAUUUCCUUGAUAAAGGGUUGCUGCUCACAAGGAAGCUAUUAAACCAAGAGUUCCAAAUGGUGAUGUUGAAAUCCUCCCUUCGUAAAUUUUACGAACGCCAUCACGAGUUGGUUGACCGUUAUGGAAUAACCGUUUCACAAAUGAUAUCGGAUAUGUUCCUGACGUCGUAACUACAAUCCCCUUCCCUUUCAUGAAUGUGACCUAACGAAUUAGACUAUUUACCGGAAAUGUUAUAACAUGAGCAACACGAUUGGAUCUGCUUACCCUUCUGUAGCACCUGACAUUAGUUUUUGAUUGGGUUCCUGUUGUUUAUUCUUUAGUUUUCUAUGUUGUGUCAUGUGUACUAUUGUUUGUCGUUUUCAUUUUUAGCCAUGGCGUUGUCAGUUUAUUUUCGGUUUAUGAGUGUGACUGUCCCUCUUGUAUCUUUCGUCCCUUUUUUUCAGUUAGGAAAACUGAAAGCAAAGAGUUUGAUUCUAUUUUAUAGUUUAUAUAAUAUUGAAUAACAAAGAUAUACGUACACAUGGCAUUGGAACUAAGAACAUGAAUAGAUGAAUAAAUUUUCCAAUCGGUCUGAUUAAAAAAAAUAAAAGAUUGAAGCAAAAGAUACCAAAGAGAAAAACUGAUAAGUCGCACAUAAACUGACAAUGCAAUGACAUACAUGUACAACGAACAAAGACAAAACUCAAACAACAGUAUACAAAAUACAACAAAACACCGAAGACUGAUCAACACGAAACCCAAAAAUUGAGGGUGAUAAAAAAUAAUCAUACAAUUUCAGUCCUAAUCAGUGGAAAGAGUCGAAUUAACUGUUUGUGAUAUUUUUCAUAGAAUAAUUCCAAAUCAAACUUCAAACAUUUUCCUUAGAGCUAUAUAACAAAUACAGACGUGCAUGUAGAUACCCUAUGCAACAUACAAUGAAAUGAAAUGUGAAGAUAAAAAUACUGGUGGUAUACGGACUACAACGCAGUUAAAUAUAGUAAUGUAAACAUGGUAAAGGAAUUAACACUUCUCUCUACAAUAUUUUCUUUUCCCGCAGGUUUAUAUAUACAGAUAAGAUUACUAUGGAUUAUUUCAACGUAAAGAACAUUUUAUAUGGAUCAGAAAAGUAUAUGCUACAACUGUUAAAAGAUGAGUGCAAUGCAUUUUUAGCUUCACAUGUGAAUGUGGAUCAUGCAUGUCUUGUUUUACAAGCAGCACACGACUUCAACAUGAAAGACUUAGAAACGAAAGUAUUGAAUUUCAUUUUCAUCCACGGAAGUGAAGUUCUUGAUUCAAAAGAUUUCAGAAAUUUGUCAGCGGAAUGUCUUAAACUAUUACUUGUUUCUGAUAAACUCCGCUGUGAAGAGGAAUACAUUUACCAAAAAAUGCUACAUUGGGGUAUACAAAAAUGCAAUGACAAAAGUUUAGCGACAACAGACGAGAAUAUACGAGAAUGUCUCGGUGAUUUGUUAUAUCUCAUUCGUUUUCCAGUCAUGAGACCACAGUAUUUUACAGAAGAUGUUUCUUGCAAAAGUUUACUAACCGCGACCGAGAAAGUAAAAGUGUAUCAACAUUUUAAUUAUAAGACCACCGAUAUUUUCCCUUCACACAAUCGCAUGUCUAAAAUUAAGUUUGAAACUGGUGUUGGAAGAAGGCGGAAAUGGAAAACUGAACAUACACCGAAACCGG
rnacentral:lncRNA from 1 species